rnacentral:tRNA from 1 species
GAGAGGAUGGCUGAGUGGACUAAAGCGUCGGAUUGCUAAUCCGUUGUGCGAGUUAUUCCGUACCCGAGGGUUCCGAAAUCCCCCUCUCUUCC